rnacentral:rRNA from 1 species
UCAUAUAAGACGAGAAGACCCCAUGGAGCUUCAAACCCAACUACACCCCUAGCUCUUAUAGCCCCACAACCCCCCUAGGCACCGUGUGCUUGGUUUUAGGUUGGGGCGACCGCGGAGUACAAUAAAACCUCCACAAUGAAUGGGAACACCCCCUUAUCUGAGGGCCACACCCCCUAAGAAUUAGAACACUAACAUAAAAUGAUCCAUUACUUGAUCAAUGAACCAAGUUACCCUGGGGAUAACAGCGCAAUCCAUUUCAAGAGCCCCUAUCGACAAAU